rnacentral:rRNA from 1 species
GAUGAACGCUAGCUACAGGCUUAACACAUGCAAGUCGAGGGGCAUCAGGAAGAAAGCUUGCUUUCUUUGCUGGCGACCGGCGCACGGGUGAGUAACACGUAUCCAACCUGCCCUUUACUCGGGGAUAGCCUUUCGAAAGAAAGAUUAAUACCCGAUGGCAUAAUGAUUCCGCAUGGUUUCAUUAUUAAAGGAUUCCGGUAAAGGAUGGGGAUGCGUUCCAUUAGGUUGUUGGUGAGGUAACGGCUCACCAAGCCUUCGAUGGAUAGGGGUUCUGAGAGGAAGGUCCCCCACAUUGGAACUGAGACACGGUCCAAACUCCUACGGGAGGCAGCAGUGAGGAAUAUUGGUCAAUGGGCGCUAGCCUGAACCAGCCAAGUAGCGUGAAGGAUGAAGGCUCUAUGGGUCGUAAACUUCUUUUAUAUAAGAAUAAAGUGCAGUAUGUAUACUGUUUUGUAUGUAUUAUAUGAAUAAGGAUCGGCUAACUCCGUGCCAGCAGCCGCGGUAAUACGGAGGAUCCGAGCGUUAUCCGGAUUUAUUGGGUUUAAAGGGAGCGUAGGUGGACUGGUAAGUCAGUUGUGAAAGUUUGCGGCUCAACCGUAAAAUUGCAGUUGAUACUGUCAGUCUUGAGUACAGUAGAGGUGGGCGGAAUUCGUGGUGUAGCGGUGAAAUGCUUAGAUAUCACGAAGAACUCCGAUUGCGAAGGCAGCUCACUGGACUGCAACUGACACUGAUGCUCGAAAGUGUGGGUAUCAAACAGGAUUAGAUACCCUGGUAGUCCACACAGUAAACGAUGAAUACUCGCUGUUUGCGAUAUACAGUAAGCGGCCAAGCGAAAGCAUUAAGUAUUCCACCUGGGGAGUACGCCGGCAACGGUGAAACUCAAAGGAAUUGACGGGGGCCCGCACAAGCGGAGGAACAUGUGGUUUAAUUCGAUGAUACGCGAGGAACCUUACCCGGGCUUAAAUUGCAGUGGAAUGAUGUGGAAACAUGUCAGUGAGCAAUCACCGCUGUGAAGGUGCUGCAUGGUUGUCGUCAGCUCGUGCCGUGAGGUGUCGGCUUAAGUGCCAUAACGAGCGCAACCCUUAUCUUCAGUUACUAACAGGUCAUGCUGAGGACUCUGGAGAGACUGCCGUCGUAAGAUGUGAGGAAGGUGGGGAUGACGUCAAAUCAGCACGGCCCUUACGUCCGGGGCUACACACGUGUUACAAUGGGGGGUACAGAAGGCAGCUAGCGGGUGACCGUAUGCUAAUCCCAAAAUCCUCUCUCAGUUCGGAUCGAAGUCUGCAACCCGACUUCGUGAAGCUGGAUUCGCUAGUAAUCGCGCAUCAGCCACGGCGCGGUGAAUACGUUCCCGGGCCU